rnacentral:rRNA from 1 species
UACGAAGGGUGCAAGCGUUAAUCGGAAUUACUGGGCGUAAAGCGUGCGUAGGCGGUUAUUUAAGUCUGCUGUGAAAUCCCCGGGCUCAACCUGGGAAUGGCAGUGGAUACUGGAUAGCUAGAGUGUGAUAGAGGAUGGUGGAAUUCCCGGUGUAGCGGUGAAAUGCGUAGAGAUCGGGAGGAACAUCAGUGGCGAAGGCGGCCCGCUGGGCAACUGCUGACACUGAGGCGCGACAGCGUGGGGAGCAAACAGG